rnacentral:rRNA from 1 species
GACGAACGCUGGCGGCGUGCUUAACACAUGCAAGUCGAGCGAUGAAGUUCCUUCGGGAAUGAAUUAGCGGCGGACGGGUGAGUAACACGUGGGUAACCUGCCUCAUAGAGGGGAAUAGCCUUCCGAAAGGAAGAUUAAUACCGCAUAAGAUUGUAGUACCGCAUGGUACAGCAAUUAAAGGAGCAAUCCGCUAUGAGAUGGACCCGCGUCGCAUUAGCUAGUUGGUGAGGUAACGGCUCACCAAGGCGACGAUGCGUAGCCGACCUGAGAGGGUGAUCGGCCACAUUGGGACUGAGACACGGCCCAGACGCCUACGGGAGGCAGCAGUGGGGAAUAUUGCACAAUGGGGGAAACCCUGAUGCAGCAACGCCGCGUGAGUGAUGACGGUCUUCGGAUUGUAAAACUCUGUCUUCAGGGACGAUAAUGACGGUACCUGAGGAGGAAGCCACGGCUAACUACGUGCCAGCAGCCGCCGUAA